rnacentral:rRNA from 1 species
UUAAGCGACUAAGCGUACACGGUGGAUGCCCUGGCAGUCAGAGGCGAUGAAGGACGUGCUAAUCUGCGAAAAGCGUCGGUAAGGUGAUAUGAACCGUUAUAACCGGCGAUGUCCGAAUGGGGAAACCCAGUGCAAUUCGUUGCACUAUCGUUAACUGAAUACAUAGGUUAACGAGGCGAACCGGGGGAACUGAAACAUCUAAGUACCCCGAGGAAAAGAAAUCAACCGAGAUUCCCCCAGUAGCGGCGAGCGAACGGGGAGCAGCCCAGAGUCUGAAUCAGCUUGUGUGUUAGUGGAACGGUCUGGAAAGUCCGACGGUACAGGGUGAUAGUCCCGUACACCAAAAUGCACAGGCUGUGAACUCGAAGAGUAGGGCGGGACACGUGGUAUCCUGUCUGAAUAUGGGGGACCAUCCUCCAAGGCUAAAUACUCCUGACUGACCGAUAGUGAACCAGUACCGUGAGGGAAAGGCGAAAAGAACCCCGGCGAGGGGAGUGAAAAAGAACCUGAAACCGUGUACGUACAAGCAGUGGGAGCACCUUCGGGUGUGACUGCGUACCUUUUGUAUAAUGGGUCAGCGACUUAUAUUCUGUAGCAAGGUUAACCGUAUAGGGGAGCCGCAGGGAAACCGAGUCUUAACUGGGCGUUAAGUUGCAGGGUAUAGACCCGAAACCCGGUGAUCUAGCCAUGGGCAGGUUGAAGGUUGGGUAACACUAACUGGAGGACCGAACCGACUAAUGUUGAAAAAUUAGCGGAUGACUUGUGGCUGGGGGUGAAAGGCCAAUCAAACCGGGAGAUAGCUGGUUCUCCCCGAAAGCUAUUUAGGUAGCGCCUCGUGAAUUCAUCUUCGGGGGUAGAGCACUGUUUCGGCUAGGGGGUCAUCCCGACUUACCAACCCGAUGCAAACUACGAAUACCGAAGAAUGUUAUCACGGGAGACACACGGCGGGUGCUAACGUCCGUCGUGAAGAGGGAAACAACCCAGACCGCCAGCUAAGGUCCCAAAGUCAUGGUUAAGUGGGAAACGAUGUGGGAAGGCACAGACAGCCAGGAUGUUGGCUUAGAAGCAGCCAUCAUUUAAAGAAAGCGUAAUAGCUCACUGGUCGAGUCGGCCUGCGCGGAAGAUGUAACGGGGCUAAACCAUGCACCGAAGCUGCGGCAGCGACACUAUGUGUUGUUGGGUAGGGGAGCGUUCUGUAAGCCUGCGAAGGUGACCUGUGAGGGUUGCUGGAGGUAUCAGAAGUGCGAAUGCUGACAUAAGUAACGAUAAAGCGGGUGAAAAGCCCGCUCGCCGGAAGACCAAGGGUUCCUGUCCAACGUUAAUCGGGGCAGGGUGAGUCGACCCCUAAGGCGAGGCCGAAAGGCGUAGUCGAUGGGAAACAGGUUAAUAUUCCUGUACUUGGUGUUACUGCGAAGGGGGACGGAGAAGGCUAUGUUAGCCGGGCGACGGUUGUCCCGGUUUAAGCAUGUAGGCUGGUUGUCCAGGCAAAUCCGGAUAAUCAAGGCUGAGGUGUGAUGACGAGGCACUACGGUGCUGAAGUAACAAAUGCCCUGCUUCCAGGAAAAGCCUCUAAGCAUCAGGUAACAUUAAAUCGUACCCCAAACCGACACAGGUGGUCAGGUAGAGAAUACCAAGGCGCUUGAGAGAACUCGGGUGAAGGAACUAGGCAAAAUGGUGCCGUAACUUCGGGAGAAGGCACGCUGGUGUGUAGGUGAAGUCCCUGCGGAUGGAGCUGAGACCAGUCGAAGAUACCAGCUGGCUGCAACUGUUUAUUAAAAACACAGCACUGUGCAAACACGAAAGUGGACGUAUACGGUGUGACGCCUGCCCGGUGCCGGAAGGUUAAUUGAUGGGGUUAUCCGUAAGGAGAAGCUCUUGAUCGAAGCCCCGGUAAACGGCGGCCGUAACUAUAACGGUCCUAAGGUAGCGAAAUUCCUUGUCGGGUAAGUUCCGACCUGCACGAAUGGCGUAAUGAUGGCCAGGCUGUCUCCACCCGAGACUCAGUGAAAUUGAACUCGCUGUGAAGAUGCAGUGUACCCGCGGCAAGACGGAAAGACCCCGUGAACCUUUACUAUAGCUUGACACUGAACAUUGAGCCUUGAUGUGUAGGAUAGGUGGGAGGCUUUGAAGCGUGGACGCCAGUCUGCGUGGAGCCAACCUUGAAAUACCACCCUUUAAUGUUUGAUGUUCUAACGUUGGCCCCUGACCGGGGUUGCGGACAGUGUCUGGUGGGUAGUUUGACUGGGGCGGUCUCCUCCCAAAGCGUAACGGAGGAGCACGAAGGUUAGCUAAUCCUGGUCGGACAUCAGGAGGUUAGUGCAAUGGCAUAAGCUAGCUUGACUGCGAGCGUGACGGCGCGAGCAGGUGCGAAAGCAGGUCAUAGUGAUCCGGUGGUUCUGAAUGGAAGGGCCAUCGCUCAACGGAUAAAAGGUACUCCGGGGAUAACAGGCUGAUACCGCCCAAGAGUUCAUAUCGACGGCGGUGUUUGGCACCUCGAUGUCGGCUCAUCACAUCCUGGGGCUGAAGUAGGUCCCAAGGGUAUGGCUGUUCGCCAUUUAAAGUGGUACGCGAGCUGGGUUUAGAACGUCGUGAGACAGUUCGGUCCCUAUCUGCCGUGGGCGCUGGAGAAUUGAGGGGGGCUGCUCCUAGUACGAGAGGACCGGAGUGGACGCAUCACUGGUGUUCGGGUUGUCAUGCCAAUGGCACUGCCCGGUAGCUAAAUGCGGAAGAGAUAAGUGCUGAAAGCAUCUAAGCACGAAACUUGCCCCGAGAUGAGUUCUCCCUGAGACUUUAAGUCUCCUGAAGGAACGUUGAAGACGACGACGUUGAUAGGCCGGGUGUGUAAGCGCAGCGAUGCGUUGAGCUAACCGGUACUAAUGAACCGUGAGGCUUAACCUU